rnacentral:piRNA from 1 species
UGAUGUGAGCAUUUGCUCUGAUUGCCUCAAA